UAGGGAAUCUUCCGCAAUGGACGCAAGUCUGACGGAGCAACGCCGCGUGAGUGAAGAAGGACUUCGGUUCGUAAAACUCUGUUGUUAGAGAAGAACAGCGCAUAGAGUAACUGUUAUGCGUGUGACGGUAUCUAACCAGAAAGCCACGGCUAACUACGUGCCAGCAGCCGCGGUAAUACGUAGGUGGCAAGCGUUGUCCGGAAUUAUUGGGCGUAAAGCGAGCGCAGGCGGUCAAUUAAGUCUGAUGUGAAAGCCCCCGGCUCAACCGGGGAGGGUCAUUGGAAACUGGUUGACUUGAGUGCAGAAGGGGAGAGUGGAAUUCCAUGUGUAGCGGUGAAAUGCGUAGAUAUAGGGAGGAACACCAGUGGCGAAGGCGACUCUCUGGGCUGUAACUGACGCUGAGGCUCGAAAGCGUGGGGAGCAAACAGG
rnacentral:rRNA from 1 species